UACGAAGGGAGCAAGCGUUGUUCGGAAUUACUGGGCGUAAAGGGCGCGUAGGCGGAUGCAUUAGUCAGGGGUGAAAGCCUUGGGCUCAACCUGAGAACUGCCUUUGAUACUAUGCAUCUAGAGUCUGUGAGAGGAUAGCGGAAUACCCAGUGUAGAGGUGAAAUUCGUAGAUAUUGGGUAGAACACCAGUGGCGAAGGCGGCUAUCUGGCACAGUACUGACGCUGAGGCGCGAAAGCGUGGGGAGCAAACAGG
rnacentral:misc_RNA from 1 species